CCGACACGCCCCCUUUCGUGCCCAGGAACUGAAGGGAAGAGAGGACCUGAUUUAGGUAUUGCAUAGGUUGGUUACAUUUCCUGAUCUUGGAGAAGUGGGUUUAUGCAGGAGAUGUCCUAUGGGGUCCAGCAGCACACACCCUUCUGGUCCCUUGAGCUAUGUGCUCUAGGAGCACCCCCUGUGUGCCCUUCUGUUGUGGUGGAGCCAACUACUAUGGACACACUGUUCUGGAGGCUGGGAAGUCCAGGAUCAAGGCUCCGGCAGAUUCAUUGUCUGGUGAGACAGACAUGGAAGACAUUCACUUCCUGGUUUGUAGAUGGCCAUCUUUUUUUGCUGUAUCCUCACACAGAGAAAGAGGAGUACUUCUCUGAAUCACAGAGGGACACUGCGCAGUGAAGAUGGACUUCAUCGUAAUCCCCAAUGAACUUAAAGACGGUGACGUGGAAGCGACAGGUCAUAAAGCCCUUAUGUGAGAGGUGCCCUCCCUAUACCAGAAGGAAAGGAGCAUCCUUAUUUCUGAAGACAAAGGGACACUGAGAUGAAACUGAACAGUCUGGCUAAGAUUCCCUGCAGUUUACUACAAUUACCACAUACUCUUGACCUUCUCCACGACUGUCCACUCUUCAUCAAACCGGGCAUAACAAUACUCAGCAUGAACUGUUUCUUCGAGUCUUCGUUUCCUUAUGAAGACUCCCAUGUCACGUAGAACUUAACAUUAGAUAAAUGUCAUGCUUUUUUCCUGUUAAUCUGUCUUUGUCCAUUUAAUGUUCAGACCCAGCCAGGAACCCUAAGAGGGUCAAGAAAAUCUUUGUCCUCUGCAACACCAGGCAAUUUAAUGUUGCAUCUCCUCCAAACAAGGCAGAGGAAAUCCAUCCAAGAAAGGCUAAUCAUACUCCUUCUCAGGGAUUCCCUGAAUUGGGGUUAGAAGGAAUGCUCACUCCGGGGGGGGUUACAAUGCUGAAAAAAAUGCCAGUGUCUAACGAGGUCAAUGAGAGAGACAGAGACAGAGAGGGACAGUGACUGAGACAGAGAAACAGAGAGCAAGGGAUAGAGGGAGGGAGAGAGUCGACAGCAUCUGGCUUCCUGGACCCAAUCCCUGAAGCCGCAUCUGCUUAACGUGAUUUGGUUUUGUAACCAUGAAGUGCCUUGCUUUUGCAUAAACUAGUUUGAAAUGGUCUCUACCACUUACAAGAGAAAGAAUUUUGAUUAACAUAGUCAACUGCUUUUAAGAAUUAUGGUACUGGGAUGAUGGAAAUGUUCCAAAAUUAGAUUAUGGUGAUGGUUGUACUUCUCUGUAAAUUUACUAAAAAUCAUUGAAUUUUACACUUAGAGCAAGUACAUUAUAUUGUAUAUAAAUUAUGUAUGCAAUAAAAAAGUAUUGUUGCUUG